CUAAAGAAACUUUGAAAAAUACUCUUAUCUUAGGCACAUCAUUAAAAUAUCAACUUUGGCAGAGAGGUGGAGCAAGAUGACUAAAUAGAAGGUUCUACUGAUCAUUUCCCGUCGCUUCCACGGGAACACCAAGUUUGAUAUCCACACAAAGGGAGCACCUUCAAAGGAAGCAAAAAUCAAAGAUAGUUACAAUGGAGCAGAUCUUCUUGACUUGAAUAGAACAACUUUAUUGGACCUCAUCGUGCAAAUAUGUAAAUUACAUUCCCAUUGAGGCACGAAAAUGGAUCUAGCCACAGCUCUGAUGAUAUUGCUUUGCCUUUAACGGUACCUCCCAUUAGUCUCUUGCACCAAGAUGCACAUUUUUCAGUUUACAUAGUGGAUUUCAUCAUUCUACUAGAAAGCCUCCACUUUGUUUCUGAUUCAGUUUCAGUUUCCAAACCAGGUGCUUUGUCCCUCACUGACUGUUUUGGAUGACCUCUAGUUUUUCCCCAAGGUUCUAAAUUUAGUUUGGCUUUUAUUUGGCCAUCAUUUUAAUUCCCACCUUUUGUUUUGGUGCUGUUGAUUGUAUAAUCCAACCAUCUCU
rnacentral:lncRNA from 1 species